UACAGAGGGUGCAAGCGUUAAUCGGAAUUACUGGGCGUAAAGCGUGCGUAGACGGUUAUGUAAGUCAGAUGUGAAAGCCCCGGGCUCAACCUGGGAAUUGCAUUUGAGACUGUGUAGCUAGGGUGCGGAAGAGGGAAGCGGAAUUUCCGGUGUAGCGGUGAAAUGCGUAGAUAUCGGAAGGAACACCAGUGGCGAGAGCGGCUUCCUGGUCCAGCACCGACGUUCAGGCACGAAAGCGUGGGGAGCAAACAGG
rnacentral:rRNA from 1 species